AUUCUAAACAGCUUGCCUCCCAUAAGGGUGAGCUUCAAUGGAAGCUUCUUGAUUGCUUGCAAAGACACAGACUGUCUGAAUCUUUCUGUCAAUAAUGCUGCCCUACUCCAGAGCGCCAGGAUGCCAACAGCCUGCCUGGUGCUCUUUGGCUCCAAGGGAAGCAUACAGGAUGCACCCGUGUCAAGCACUCUGGGAUUUAGUUGUGGUGACUCCUUGGAGUCUCUAGACUUCUAGACAGAAGAAGAAGAGAGGGAAUUCUGACAUCAGAAAAGUCUAUGCAAAUG